rnacentral:rRNA from 1 species
CCUACGGGUGGCAGCAGUGGGGAAUAUUGCACAAUGGGGGAAACCCUGAUGCAGCGACGCCGCGUGAGUGAAGAAGUAAUUCGUUAUGUAAAGCCCUAUCAGCAGGGAAGAAACACUGACCUUACGGUCAGCAGACGGUACCUGAGUAAGAAGCCCCGGCUAACUACGUGCCAGCAGCCGCGGUAAUACGCAGGGGGCAAGCGUUAUCCGGAUUUACUGGGUGUAAAGGGAGCGUAGACGGUGCGCCAAGUCUGGGGUGAAAUGCCGCAGCUUAACUGCGGAACUGCUUUUGAAACUGGCGGACUUGAGUGCGGGAGUGGUAAGCGGAAUGCGUGGUGUAGCGGUGAAAUGCGUAGAUAUUAGGAGGAACACCGAUGGCGAAGGCAGCUUACUAGACCGUAACUGACGUUGAGGCUCGAAAGCGUGGGGAGCAAACAGGAUUAGAUACCCCAGUAGUC